rnacentral:rRNA from 1 species
CCUACGGGAGGCAGCAGUGGGGAAUAUUGGACAAUGGGGGCAACCCUGAUCCAGCCAUGCCGCGUGGGUGAUGAAGGCCUUAGGGUUGUAAAGCCCUUUCGCGCGCGACGAUGAUGACGGUAGCGCGAGAAGAAGCCUCGGCUAACUCCGUGCCAGCAGCCGCGGUAAGACGGAGGAGGCUAGCGUUGUUCGGAAUUACUGGGCGUAAAGCGUGCGUAGGCGGCCUGGUUAGUCGGAGGUGAAAUCCCGGGGCUCAACUCCGGAACUGCCUCCGAGACGGCUGGGCUUGAGCGAAGGAGAGGAGAGCGGAAUUCCCAGUGUAGAGGUGAAAUUCGUAGAUAUUGGGAAGAACACCGGUGGCGAAGGCGGCUCUCUGGCCUUUUGCUGACGCUCAGGCACGAAAGCGUGGGGAGCAAACAGGAUUAGAUACCCUUGUAGUC